GGUGAGUAACACGUGGGCAACCUGCCCUGUAGAUUGGGAUAACUCCGGGAAACCGGGGCUAAUACCGAAUAAUCCUUCGGACCUCAUGGUCCGAUGUUGAAAGACGGCUCCGGCUGUCACUACCGGAUGGGCCCGCCGCCCAUUAACUAGUUGGUGGAGUAACGGCUCACCAAGGGGAAGAUGGGUAACCGACCCGAAAGGGUGAUCGGCCACACUGGGACUGAAACACGGCCCAAACUCCUACGGGAGGCAACAAUAGGGAAUCUUCCCCAAUGGACAAAAGUCUGAUGGAACAACCCCCCGUGAAUGAAAAAGGUUCUCGGAACC
rnacentral:rRNA from 1 species